CUCCUCAGGGCCCUGUCUCCCAACCCUUGUACCAGCGCUGCCAAGUUGCUGGUACAGGUUUGGGGGGCAGGGACCUGGGGAC
rnacentral:pre_miRNA from 10 species